AAGAGCAAAUAAAUCUAUGCUGACAGAUGAUCUGGUACCCAGGCUAGCUAUAAGGUUCAUUCAGUUACUUGCAGAGGCCACUAGUGCAGUAGAUGUCUCCUGAAAGAAACGAUGAAGAUUGACCAAAACAAGCGAUGGACCAAAAGGAAACAGUGAAGCUCUCUGUGAAUGUUUCCUGGUCCUCUGAAUAAGGCCAGAUCAAAACAUCUGACCAUGUCCCUCCUGUCCUGAGGCAACUAAAUAACAGGUCUUCUUUCCUGGGCUACUACAUGUGUACUGAGCUGUUCCUCUCAGGUUCCUCCUAUAGACAGAAUGCCAGCUGUAAAGAGGUAUUGUAGAGAGCAGGGGUCCCCAACCUGGUGGUCCUUGGGAGACUCAUGUGGUACCGGGUCGCCAAGAAAUAAAUAACUUUUAACUAACUUAUAAAUUACCUUUUCUUUACGUUAUUUUGAAAAUCACCACCACUGCACUCAUAUUGAUGUUCUUUCAUUAAGAAUGGCACACUAAUAACGGUCCAUCAAAAUAAAACAGAAACUCAAACUGAAUGUGAUGAUGGCAACAUAAUAAUAUAUUUUUCAAUUACGCCACCAAAAAUAAUUUUACCCACAUGAAACAAAGUUCCACUGAAAAACCAACAUUACUUCUUGGUAAUGUAACAACAAAGGCUAGCAAAAAAAACCUAUACAAAAUGUCCAAGUUUUAGCCUACAUAACAGGCUGAAAAACUCAUGCAAGGUGUUCAAAUGUCAGAUGAAAAAAAAAGACAACAAUAAGUUUUGCAAGAAUAAUGAGGUUGUCAAUUGACAUGCAUUGCCUGCGAAUGUCUGUGAACCUUAAGACCAAUAUGUUUUGAGCCACCUACCUACGUAUUUGACGUGCUGGUUCUUCUCCAGUAAAGUGGCCAAAGCUCCACAAACGGACAGAUAUAGACUCGAACAAUCAUUAACUGAGGUGCCCCCAGGAGGUCAAGGGGAAGUUUUUUAACCGUGUGUGUGUGUGUGUGUGUGUGUGUGUGUGUGUGUGUGUGUGUGUGUGUGUGUGUGU
ensembl:lncRNA